UUUUUAGUGUAAUUAUGUCCCAUGUGAUAUUUGGGACAGAUUUAUACUAAAA
rnacentral:pre_miRNA from 1 species